rnacentral:rRNA from 1 species
GAUGAACGCUGGCGGCGUGCCUAACACAUGCAAGUCGAGCGAACGGACGAGAAUCUUGCUUCUCUGAUGUUAGCGGCGGACGGGUGAGUAACACGUGGAUAACCUACCUAUAAGACUGGGAUAACUUCGGGAAACCGGAGCUAAUACCGGAUAAUAUUUUGAACCGCAUGGUUCAAAAGUGAAUGACGGUCUUGCUGUCACUUAUAGAGGGAUCCGCGCUGCAUUAGCUAGUUGGUAAGGUAACGGCUUACCAAGGCAACGAUGCAUAGCCGACCUGAGAGGAGGAUCGGCCACACUGGAACUGAGACACGGUCCAGACUCCUACGGGAGGCAGCAGUGGGGAAUCUUGGGCAAUGGGCGAAAGCCUGACGGAGCAACGCCGCGUGGGUGAUGAAGGUCUUCGGAUCGUAAAACUCUGUUAUUAGGGAAGAACGUUUGUCUGAGUAACUGUGCAGUUUUUGACGGUACCUAGUCAAAAAGCACCGGCUAACUACGUG